GACGAACGCUGGCGGCGUGCUUAACACAUGCAAGUCGAACGGACAGACCAUGCUCUUGUGGGUUGCUCGAUUGGGGAACGCGUGAGUGACACGUGAGUAACCUGCCCUUGACUGUGGGAUAACUUCAGGAAAAUGGGGCUAAUACCGGAUAGGAGCUCCUGCUGCGUGGUGUGAGUUGGAAAGAUUCGGCGGUUGGGGCUGGACUCGCGGGUUAUCAGCUUGUUGGUGGGGUAGUGGCUUACCACGGCUUCGAAGGGUAGCCGGCCUGGGAGGGUGACCGGCCACCUGAGGACUAAGAUACGGCGCAGACUGCAACGGGAGGCAGCAGUGGGGAAUAUGGCGGAACGGGCGGAAGCCUGAUACAACAGCGCUGCGUGCGGGAUGACGGCUUUCUGGUUGUAAACAAAUUUCGCAGGAGACGAAGCCGGAGUGACGGUACUGGAUAAAAAAGCACCGGCUAACUACGUG
rnacentral:rRNA from 1 species